UACGUAGGUCGCGAGCGUUAUCCGGAUUUAUUGGGCGUAAAGGGAGCGCAGGCGGCUAGAUAAGUCUGAAGUGAAAGCGUGGGGCUCAACCAUAGAAUGCCUUGGAAACUGUAUAACUUGAGUUCAGAAGGGGGGAGUGGAAUUCCAUGUGUAGCGGUGAAAUGCGUAGAUAUAUGGAGGAACACCGGUGGCGAAGGCGGCUAGCUGGUCUGUAACUGACGCUGAGGCACGAAAGCGUGGGGAGCAAACAGG
rnacentral:rRNA from 1 species